rnacentral:misc_RNA from 1 species
GAUGAAGAACGUAGCGAAAUGCGAUAAGUAAUGUGAAUUGCAGAAUUCAGUGAAUCAUCGAAUCUUUGAACGCACCUUGCGCCCUUUGGCUAUUCCGAAGGGCAUGCCUGUUUGAGUAUCAUGAACACCUCAACUCUCAUGGUUUGCCAUGAUGAGCUUGGACUUUGGGGGUCUUGCCGGCCUAUGGGUCGGCUCCUCUCAAAUUAAUCAGCUUGCCAGUGUUUGGUGGCAUCACAGGUGUGAUAACUAUCUACGCUUGUGGUUUUCCAUCAGGUAACCUUCAGUGAUGGAGGUUCGCUGGGGCUCAUAAAUGUCUCUCCUCAGUGAGGACAGCUUUUUUGAACGUUUGAUCUCAAAUCAGGUAGGACUACCCGCUGAACUUAAGGAUAUCAAUAAGCGGAGGA